rnacentral:rRNA from 1 species
GACGAACGCUGGCGGCGUGCUUAACACAUGCAAGUCGAACGAAGUGGCGGACGGGUGAGUAACGCGUGAGCAAUCUGUCCCACAGAGGGGGAUAACAACUGGAAACAGUUGCUAAUACCGCAUACUGUGGGGUGAGCUCGCGUCUGAUUAGUUAGUUGGUGAGGUAACGGCCCACCAAGACAGCGAUCGGUAGCCGACCUGAGAGGGUGAUCGGCCACAUUGGGACUGAGACACGGCCCAGACUCCUACGGGAGGCAGCAGUGGGGAAUAUUGGGCAAUGGGCGAAAGCCUGACCCAGCAACGCCGCGUGAGGGAAGAAGGUUUUCGGAUUGUAAACCUCUGUCCUAAGGGACGCGGUACCUUAGGAGGAAGCCCCGGCUAACUACGUGCCAGCAGCCGCGGUAAUACGUAGGGGGCGAGCGUUGUCCGGAAUGACUGGGCGUAAAGGGCGUGUAGGCGGCAGUAUAAGUCCGGAGUGAAAGUCCUGCUUUCAAGGUGGGAAUUGCUUUGGAGACUGUACAGCUUGAGUGCGGAAGAGGUAAGUGGAAUUCCCAGUGUAGCGGUGAAAUGCGUAGAGAUUGGGAGGAACACCAGUGGCGAAGGCGACUUACUGGGCCGUAACUGACGCUGAGGCGCGAAAGCGUGGGGAGCGAACAGGAUUAGAUACCCUGGUAGUCCACGCGGUAAACGAUGAAUGCUAGGUGUAGGGCUGUGCCGGAGUAAACACAAUAAGCAUUCCGCCUGGGGAGUACGGCCGCAAGGUUGCAACUCAAAUGAAUUGACGGA